rnacentral:lncRNA from 1 species
UGAUGCUCUGUGCACUGUGCUGUCCCGCGGCCCGUCCAUGGCGCCGACGACCCCUUCUCCCCGUCACGGACCACCCACGAGCGCCCCACGAUCGCCCAAUUCCUCUGCCACUGCCACCACCACAUGACCCAAGCAAAUUGGCGCGCGCGCGCCCAGUUUUCUCUGCUGGUGGCGGUGCGAUUUGGCGCUGGUGCGCUACACACACCACACUGCCCGCCUCCAUCCGCGCCAGACAAACGCGCCGUUCCACCCGUAGGGCCCGAAAGCCUGCGGCCGGAACUCCCAAAAGGCCAGCACGGGCCACGGGCACAGGCACAAAGCCUUUUCGAAAGCUUUGUAGACUGUCUAUUUCCCAAUCUUGCUUUUAGUUGCUGCUUAAAUAAAUACUAGUAAUUUGAACAUCCCAUGACGUGAAUCCCUUUCGCUACAACGUCGAGCCUAAUACACCUAUCCAGGGCCGUGCUACUUCUCACUAAAACCGAGAGGAACCGUAACGUAUGAUGUACUAGGGCACAUGACGGCAGGGGAGCAAUGGUCUGGUAUGGUACUAG